rnacentral:lncRNA from 1 species
UGUGCAUGUGGCCACUUGUGAUGCAAGACAGAGGCAGGACUGAGAAGACGAGAGGUGGGCUUCGUUCCUGAGAAUAUCCAGGAGUCCAAGAGAUCUAAAUUGGAAGAUGGCCUUCCAAUUUAGGUCAGUUUCCAAUUAAGAAGGCCAGGUUUUUAUGAAGCAAUAUUUGUCAAGGCAUGGACAUUCACUUUUGCAGAUGAGGAAACAAGAAUUCAGAGUUGAUUUGCACAUACGAAGCAAAACAAGUGAGAUCCAAGCCUCCAGACUCUACAACAGAUGCUUCCAAUAUCUAUGUCUAAUGAAGUAAACUACUCUGAAAAUCAAAAUGUGUAUUUUUUAAAUUAAUAAAAA